GACGAACGCUGGCGGCGUGCUUAACACAUGCAAGUCGAACGGAAAGGCCCUGCUUGCAGGGUACUCGAGUGGCGAACGGGUGAGUAACACGUGGGUGAUCUGCCCUGCACUUCGGGAUAAGCUUGGGAAACUGGGUCUAAUACCGGAUAGGAGCCAUCUUUAGUGUGGUGGUUGGAAAGUUUUUUCGGUGUAGGAUGAGCUCGCGGCCUAUCAGCUUGUUGGUGGGGUAAUGGCCUACCAAGGCGGCGACGGGUAGCCGGCCUGAGAGGGUGUACGGCCACAUUGGGACUGAGAUACGGCCCAGACUCCUACGGGAGGCAGCAGUGGGGAAUAUUGCACAAUGGGCGCAAGCCUGAUGCAGCGACGCCGCGUGGGGGAUGAAGGCCUUCGGGUUGUAAACUCCUUUCGCUAGGGACGAAGCUUUUUGUGACGGUACCUAGAUAAGAAGCACCGGCUAACUACGU
rnacentral:rRNA from 1 species